AGUAGUUUGAUCAGUGGCUCGAGGACGACGCUGGCGGCGUGCUUAACACAUGCAAGUCGAACGGGGAUACGUUGAAUGAGAGCUUCGGCAGGAUUUUGAUGUAUUCCAGUGGCGGACGGGUGAGUAACGCGUGAACAAUCUGUCCCAGACAGGGGAAUAACACUUGGAAACAGGUGCUAAUACCGCAUGAGACCACGGGUAGGCAUCUACCUGAGGUAAAAGGAGUAAUCCGGUUUGGGGUGAGUUCGCGUCCGAUUAGAUAGUUGGUGAGGUAACGGCCCACCAAGUCGACGAUCGGUAGCCGAUCUGAGAGGAUGACCGGCCACAUUGGAACUGAGAGACGGUCCAAACUCC
rnacentral:rRNA from 1 species